rnacentral:rRNA from 1 species
CUUGACACUGAACAUUGAGCCUUGAUGUGUAGGAUAGGUGGGAGGCUUUGAAGCGUGGACGCCAGUCUGCGUGGAGCCAACCUUGAAAUACCACCCUUUAAUGUUUGAUGUUCUAACGUAGGCCCCUUAUCGGGGUUGCGGACAGUGUCUGGUGGGUAGUUUGACUGGGGCGGUCUCCUCCCAAAGCGUAACGGAGGAGCACGAAGGUUAGCUAAUCCUGGUCGGACAUCAGGAGGUUAGUGCAAUGGCAUAAGC